GGGCUUAUGGUGUAAUGGUUAGCAUGAUUGACUUCGAUUGUUUCUCAUCGGCUAUCAAUCGAUCCCGGUUCGAAUCCGAGUAGGCCCU